UGGGGAAUAUUGGACAAUGGGCGAAAGCCUGAUCCAGCCAUGCCGCGUGUGUGAAGAAGGUCUUCGGAUUGUAAAGCACUUUAAGUUGGGAGGAAGGGCAUUAACCUAAUACGUUAGUGUUUUGACGUUACCGACAGAAUAAGCACCGGCUAACUCUGUGCCAGUAGCCGCGGUAAUACAGAGGGUGCAAGCGUUAAUCGGAAUUACUGGGCGUAAAGCGCGCGUAGGUGGUUUGUUAAGUUGGAUGUGAAAUCCCCGGGCUCAACCUGGGAACUGCAUUCAAAACUGACUGACUAGAGUAUGGUAGAGGGUGGUGGAAUUUCCUGUGUAGCGGUGAAAUGCGUAGAUAUAGGAAGGAACACCAGUGGCGAAGGCGACCACCUGGACUAAUACUGACACUGAGGUGCGAAAGCGUGGGGAGCAAACA
rnacentral:rRNA from 1 species